rnacentral:rRNA from 1 species
GACCUCGGAUCAGGUAGGGAUACCCGCUGAACUUAAGCAUAUCAAUAAGCGGAGGAAAAGAAACCAACUGGGAUUGCCUUAGUAACGGCGAGUGAAGCGGCAACAGCUCAAAUUUGAAAUCUGGCCCUAGGCCCGAGUUGUAAUUUGUAGAGGGAGUCUUGGAAUCGUCCCCGGCCUAAGUCCCUUGGAACAGGGCGUCGCAGAGGGUGAGAGUCCCGUGUGCGGCCGGGAGCCUUUUCCGUGUAAGGCCCCUUCGACGAGUCGAGUUGUUUGGGAAUGCAGCUCUAAAUGGGAGGUAAAUUUCUUCUAAAGCUAAAUACCGGCCAGAGACCGAUAGCGCACAAGUAGAGUGAUCGAAAGAUGAAAAGCACUUUGAAAAGAGAGUUAAAAAGUACGUGAAAUUGUUGAAAGGGAAGCGUUUGCAGCCAGACUUGAUUGUAGUUGCUCAACCGGUCUUUGCCCGGUGCACUCUUCUGCGGUCGGGCCAGCAUCGGUUCGGGCGGCCGGAUAAAGGCCUUGGGAAUGUAUCUCCACCUAGUGGUGAGUUAUAGCC